rnacentral:rRNA from 1 species
GAUGAACGCUGGCGGCGUGCCUAACACAUGCAAGUCGAGCGAACGAAGGGGGAUUUCCCCCGUUUACGGUGGCGGCCGGCUGGGUAAUGACUAGGAGUCUACCUUACUUUUAGGAUUGGCAUACUUUGGGGAACCCGAACACAUCACGGGUCAUGAUAUUGAACGCGUGGGUUCAUCGGACAACACGGUUUUUGAUGAGCCUAUGAGUGGGUACCGAGCCGCAUUAGCAAGUUGGUAAGGUAACGGCUUACCAAGGCAACGAUGCGUGGCCGACCUGAGAGGGUGAUCGGCCACACUGGAACUGAGACACGGUCCAGACUCCUACGGGAGGCAGCAGUAGGGAAUCUUGCGCAAUGGGCGAAAGCCUGACGGAGCAACGCCGCGUGAGUGAUGAAGGUCUUCGGAUCGUAAAACUCUGUUAUUAGGGAAGAACAAAUGUGUAAGUAACUAUGCACGUCUUGACGGUACCUAAUCAGAAAGCCACGGCUAACUACGUG